rfam:Danio rerio chromosome 14, GRCz11 reference primary assembly.
AAAAACACCCCUUUCACCACUGAAGCUAAGCAGGGCUGAGCCUGGUUAGUACCUGGAUGGGAGACCACUAGGGAACACCAGGUUGCUGUUGGAA